CGUAUUUUUUUCAUUUUUUUAUUAUGUAUUUACUUAUAAAUAUUAAUUUUGUAUAUUAUAUAUUUACUUAAUAUCUAUAUUUUACAUUUUAAGAUAAAUGUUUAAGGCUUAAUGUACUUUUUCUAUUUUUUUAAUUGUGCAUUUCCAUUUUAAGAUAAAUGUUUAAUGUUUAGUGUACUUUUUAUAAUUUUAUAUUAUUUAUUUACUUAUUAAUAUUAUUAUAUUAUAUAUUUUUUAA
rnacentral:lncRNA from 1 species